rnacentral:lncRNA from 1 species
AUGGUUCGUCAAUCUACCUUGUGGUUACUCGAGAGUUGGCACGUGCUGCUAGGCGCCGCUACCAACUAUCGACUUGAGUCGGUGCCAGUGGACGAGUAAGGUGUUACUCGGGCCCGCAGUCCGAGCUCGUAGUCGUGUCCGAUUGACCGCGAACCUGAAGGGUCACACGCUUAAGUGGUGGGAACCGAGUUGGAUCGGAUCCAACUCGUAUCGGGCUUAGACUCCUAACAGGCCUCAAGUGUUGAGCCCAAUAGGAACGUCUAUAUAAGUGGAGGACACCAACCCGGCUAGGGUUACACUAGUUCAGACGUGAUCGGAUCUAGCAAUCCGCCGCACAGAGUUCCUCCCUGUACGUGUGGAUAGCUCGGAGGCGCUGCACCUGCAGUGUAACAUCCCAAAAUUUCAAAUUCUUACAUGUGCAUUGCAUUCAUGAGCAUCAUGCCACAAUUGCAUAUUUGAAUUCAAAUUUGAAUCUCAAAAGGCUUUGAAAAGGUUUUAUUUCAAUUUAAACCCUAGGGUUUUGACCCAUUUGAGCUUUGGAUCUUCAAACCAAUAAGGUUUCUUUAUAAAACGGGUUUAUUGCAUAAAUAAGCUAUCCCAUAAUUUUUGGAUAAUUAUUUAGAGUUGAAAAACUAUUUUUAUUUAAAUAGUUAUAUACCCCUAAAGGCAUUUAUAGGGCAAAUGUAUUCUUAGAUAUUUUAUUUUGAGGGGAAAUUACUCCCAAAAGUUGAAUCAUGAUAAAACAUGAUUUUACAAAUUUUCUGGAAUUUAUUUGGACCAAUUUGGAGUUCAAAAUCAAAAGAUAUCAAAGAAAUGAGAAAAAGGAAAAAAAAAGGCUAAAAUAAAAAAAUAAGGAAAUCGGACCGGCCCGGCCAAAUGGGCCGAACCGGCCCAACACACCGCACGCGCCAAACCGGACCGAGCCGGCCCGGCCAACCACGCGCGCCCGAGCCACUGAUGCGUGGGACCCACGCGUCAGGGUCGUCUCCUACCUUGGGCAAGCGCCCGAAUCGGCGCCGCCGAUCCCGUGCCGCGCCGUCGCCGCCGCCAUCACCGCGCCCGCCGAUUCCGGCCUUCCCGAAACUCGCCACGCGCGUCAGUAUAAAGCCCCGC